ensembl:lincRNA
AAUGUAGAUCAUGGUGGGAAGCAUAGAACUCCAUUCUCUAGCCACGACAAUGAACAAUGAUGCCAAUCAUAGUGUUACAUCCCCAUCACUACAGUCAUUACUCCAGGGAUAUGCUCGUGAUUCAAGCCAGUUAAUCAGUGAUGUAUUUCUGCUUACAGAAGUGUCAUGAGAUCAUCAAGUAGUCCUAGAGUUUAUCAACAUCUAACUGACCUCUGGUGUCACUUCUUUGCUAUCCCCAAUGCAGAGCAGGGGCAUUGCAGAGAGACGAUGAAAAUGGAUAUCCUAGCAGCUGUCUUUUCUACAUUGAAUACACAUGUUGCCUGGUCUCUGGCAAUCAUCCAAUUAUCAUCAUGUCAGGAAGAAAUAAAUUAUAUGUCAAAAAUGAGUCUCAGGCUGUGCUAUAGAUAUUAUCACAUGGACUUUCCCCUCACCAUGGACUUCAUUUGGGUAAUGCUUACACAGUCAGAGUCGGCCAACAUCUAGUGAGCUACUAUCUCAAACCUAGAUAUUCACUGAAAGAGAGACAGGAAAGGCAAUUCUACCUUCAGA